AUUGAACGCUGGCGGCAGGCCUAACACAUGCAAGUCGAACGAGUGGCGGACGGGUGAGUAAUGUCUGGGAACCUGCCCGAUGGCGGGGGAUAACUACUGGAGACGGUAGCUAAUACCGCAUACCAUCGGAUGUGCCCAGAUGGGAUGAGCUAGUAGGUGGGGUAACGGCUCACCUAGGCGACGAACCCUAGCUGGUCUGAGCGGAUGACCAACCACACUGGAACUGAGACACGGUCCAGACUCCUACGGGAGGCAGCAGUGGGGAAUAUUGCGCAAUGGGCGCAAGCCUGAUGCAGCCAUGCCGCGUGUAUGAAGAAGGCCUUCGGGUUGUAAAGUACUUUCAGCGAGGAGGCGUUACUCGCAGAAGAAGCACCGGCUAACUCCGUGCCAGCAGCCGCGGUAAUAC
rnacentral:rRNA from 1 species